UAUAAAAUCUUCUACAUUUAAGAUUUUCUGUUGAUUAAAUUUUUCUUUGUGUGCUGGUUUUAAAUUAUGUCGACAAAUUCUUCGAUUUUCCCUUCCAGCAGUGGAGCUUAAUUCCCUUCCUUCUUGGCUCUAGUGACGCUCUUCUCAUGAACUGAAUGAAGCUUAAGUGAUAGCGUGUUUUAGGAAUAUUCUCCUUAAACAUAUUUACCUCUUACGCUCUCUGAAUCCAUUCUCCGUCAUACUGUGCCUGCCCACGUGGAGCCUGCAGACACUGCACCAGCUGCCCCCACAGUCAGCCUCUAGUGAAAGCCCAGUCUCCCGUACCUCCCACCGCCCCAACCUCCAACGACUCCGCCUGACACGGCAUCACCGCCACCUCUCAGCCUUCCAGUGUGCUUGCUGUCUUCCCUAUUCUGCGUCUUCAGUAAAUAGAAAAUAAGAUGCAUGAUGGAGCCUCAUGACAAUUAGAGGACAAGAAAGGUAAGAGGUGAGGGCGUUAUAGAAGUACCUUGUAAGCAUAUUUUAUAAAUUAUACUCUAGAGCAUAUCUGUUAUAUAUGCCUCGAUAGGCGAGUCUUGACAUGUAAUGUAUGGAAACAAUCUACAAUAGCUAGUCCCAUAGGGCAGAUGU
rnacentral:lncRNA from 1 species